UGAGGAAUAUUGCACAAUGGGCGAAAGCCUGAUGCAGCAACGCCGCGUGAGGGACGAAGGCCUUCGGGUCGUAAACCUCUUUUCUGGGGGACGAGUAAGGACGGUACUCCAGGAAUAAGUCUCGGCUAACUACGUGCCAGCAGCCGCGGUAAAACGUAGGAGGCGAGCGUUAUCCGGAUCUACUGGGCGUAAAGCGUACGCAGGUGGCUUCGUUAGUCGGACAUGAAAGCUCCUGGCUUAACUGGGAGAGGUUGUUCGAUACUGCGGGGCUUGAGGUUGGGAGAGGGACGUGGAAUUCCCGGUGUAGUGGUGGAAUGCGUAGAUAUCGGGAGGAACACCAGUGGCGCAAGCGGCGUCCUGGCCCACACCUGACGCUGAGGGACGAAAGCGUGGGUAGCGAACAG
rnacentral:rRNA from 1 species